rnacentral:lncRNA from 1 species
ACCAUCGUCUUGGAGAGCUUAUCAACGACUUUACCUUUUCAUUUCUUCUAGUUAAGAGUAUUGCACUAUGUGAGAGACUUGAGACUUGGGCAACAUCGGUACUGUUGAAGCACAUAAUACCAAAAUCGCUAACUUCUGAAGCACUAGGAGAAAUAGUUGCUUUCUUCUGAGGAUUUUCAGGUAUGUGAAUCUAUUAUGUUCUUGAAAAGUUGAUAUCUUCUAGGGUUUCUUCAUAUGCUUUGAUUCUUAUGUCAAAUUGAAUUGGUUACUUUCAUUCACCUAAGAAUCUGCUAGUUCAUUGCUUUAAUUCGUUUGGAAUCUGGUAGGGUUUUUUAUUUAUUUAUGAACUUGGGUGAAUCUGCUAGUUAUUUGCUUUAAUUCAUUUGGAAUCUGGUAGGGUUUUUUCUUCAUUUAUGAAAAGUUGAUAUCUUGUAGAGAACGAAUACAUAGGAUGCAUAGUUGAUUGUUUUAUCAUUACUGUCGAUAUUGUUUCUUCGUAAAUGUUGUUUUUCUGAUACUAUGGCUUUAAUUGCAGACUAGUGCAAGUUCAUUACUGCCAUAUAUAACUAUGUGAUUUUAAUACCUAAUUGCAAAUGGAGAACGAAAGAAAAUUUAUUAUCUAGUAUAUUUCCGUUCUCUGAAGCUCAAAAGAAAAAAAGAACAUGAAAAACAUUCUCUGCCUUGGGAAUAAGGACAGACUGGGAUAACUGGGUGCGGUCCAUGCUGUGGAUGGGCUUGUUUGAGAUUCAGGGCCAACAAUUCCCCAUGGCCUCUUCAGAGCUUUAUGGAGGUGGCUGAGGUGGGAGUGUUAGGUGUGGCAGGCAAUAAUAGUAAUUGCAGUUAUUCCUUCGUCUCUUCGCAGUUUCCACUUUGCAGGGUUGCUUAAUUUGGUAAUAUACUGAAUAUUUCUCCCCAUACCUUGGUUAUUGGAUGUGCAUCCCAGAACUUUGGAUUGUCGGGAACUACUCCUCUCAAGUGUGCGUUUAGGCUUAGAUUGAGCUAUUAUCACUAGAUGGUGGUGGUUGACUGGUUCCUAUGACAUUGGUGUAAUUCAUUCUCAUGUUUUUCUAGAGAAGUAUUGGUAUUACAUCCCAACAACCAUUUGAAUAACACACAAAUGUAAUUUGCAGGAUAUCUUUAUAUUUAUCUUGUAGCCUGUGUGAUUAAUUUAUUUCCGCAUGUUUUAAACCUGUGGGAAUUCAACCUGUUGGACUGUGGAAUCUUAUGAUACUUUGAUAAUUUAUCAGUAAUGUUUUGUGACCUCA